UGGUGGAGCGAUUUGUCUGGUUAAUUCCGUUAACGAACGAGACCUCGGCCUGCUAAAUAGCGACGUCAGCUCCCGCUCUUUCCCGCAAGGGAAGGGGACGGGCUGGCGGCCAAAAAUUUCUCGCUUCUUAGAGGGACUGCCCGCUCCCAGCGGACGGAAGCUCGAGGCAAUAACA
rnacentral:rRNA from 1 species